CGGUUAUACAAUCUAAUGGACACAAUUUUAGUUUCAUUUAGACGUCUGACAUCAUCAAUAAUAAUGCAAAUGGCAUCUCUUUGAUUCUUUUUCAUGAAUCGUUACUUCCGAAAGACACAACCUUUCGAAAUAGAAUCUUUUAGUUUAUAUAUCGUUUCUUUAUCCUAAUAUCUUCAUUGUUCUUAUUUACAUUCAGUUUUAUCAUACUAUCUUCAAUUUUUUCUGUUGCUUUGUGGAUUUUUUUCAUUAUAGAAUAAUCUCUUAUCUGAUUCCAUCACCACUAAACUUAAUCGAGUACUUGUUUCUCAACCGCUGAUCUCAAAUGUCAACUUUCCAAUGCUCUUGAUUUAUCUUCGUCUCUUCUUUUUUGAUUAUUUCCACUCUCUUUUUCUGUCUCCCCAACCCACUGAUUAAUUAAUCUACUGCUUGUGUGGAGUUAUCAUCCACAGAUGCCGUUAGAUAGAGAUGCCAUUAACUGAUUGCACAUAUUGUGGAUAUGCUUUGUGAAAUGAGAGUAAAUAGUUUGUAGAUUUUCUGUCCGUUUCUUAUUACUCUAACAAUUGCACAUAAUACAGUGGUUCAAAUGUCCAUUUCGUUUGCAGUUUUAGCAACAAAAGGAGGAGAUACAUUGAGGGAUGCGUUUCCAUCUCACCGAACAGUUACGGUAUAUCGACUCGCCUUUGGGAAUAGAUUGAAUCGGAUACAUCAUUACAACUUGAAACAACAACUUGAAACAUGAGAGAAAUAGAGAACGCAUUAAGAAACGUUUGUGACGUAGAAGCCAGAAGAUACGAUUAUGAUAAAGAUAAUUUACGGUUGGAAGUUGGAACAUGUCAAACCACAAUGGCAAGAAAGAUGCAGGUGAUUGACGAUUUGAUGGAGGGUUCACAUGAGCCAAAGUCAGACUCUUAGAAGCACUAUCUUGAUCAAGGCCGAGGAGGCGAACCCUGAUUUGCAAUUAUACUUCCUUGACAAGAACAUGUGCCGGUUUAGGACAGAGGAGUGAAGACGGACGUUACUCCCCCUCCGUUGAGAAUAUGUAACUCCCUGAAAAGAGUUUCAAAAUGGGUCAGCGUAACAACUGCACCAAGCCAUGAAACGACAUAAUAAUCAAGGGUCCUACAGAUUUUCUCCAUCAUGUACCGUGAAUUUUUUUCGUUAUGAAAACAACUGUCUCUCUCUCUCUGAAUUUUUUUUUUUUUUUUUUUUUUUUUUUGAAAAUUAUCUCUCUCUGAAUUUUCCCACCGCGGUCUUGAUGUUUCUCUCGCCAUCUCCUUUUGUGUGUGUCCUCAUCCUAUUUUCUGUAUCUCUAACCCACUAAAACCUUAAUUUACCGUUCAUAUGUGGUGUUACUCAAUCUCAAAAACAUAUAUUCUUCUCAAAAUUCAUUGAUUCCUCUGAUACUGUUUCCCAUCCAGAAUUUUAGAGUUAAUAUGUCUAUAGAAUCGAUGAUUUAAAACCACUUAUUCAUCUAUCUCGAAAUCAGAAAGGAAUCUUUCUAGAUUGAAUCGCCGUAGGAACUCAACGCAGGUAAGAUUUGCAACACCUAAAGUUGUUUCAUUUAACAAAAGAUCCAAAGUGAAAAGUUAUGAUUUUCUGUUCAACGAAGCAGAUUGUCAUCGUUUGUCCAUUUCAAUUCCAUGAAUCAGUUAAGUCGGAAAGGUAUUUUUACCAAAUUUGUUUUGAUAGGCACGUUAGAUAGCUAGAGAUGAGAUUUAACUGAUUGCAUAUAUUGUAGUAUAUAUAGCAAGGGCCGCCCCUGCCAUAAGGUUAGUGAAGCUGGAGCUUAAGGCCACAAAAAUAAUUUACAAUUUUUGAGGCACAUUGUUUUUUGAAUGAUGAUUAUAGUUUGGUUAAAACAUUAAUUUUCACCUUUUGUUUCAGUUGGAGUCUUACAUCUUCAAAGUCAAAAAUGUUGGACUUGUAAUAUAUCCUCUCUUUUUUUCUAUUUUGAAAUGUGUGUUCCUCUUUUAGUUUGAAUAAUGUUAUUCUUUUGUUUUCUAUUUUUUUUUUCUCUGUGUUACUAAAGAUAAUAAUAGUUCAAACAAGCGAGUGAUUUUAAUUUAUUAAAAUAUCUUCUACUAAACUACUAUAUCAUUUUAUAUUUUAAAGAGAAAAUAUUAAAUAUAUUUUGAACCAACAUAUAUUUAAAAUUAAUUUUUAAAUAUAUAUAUGUUACCACAUAAAUUUUCUUUAGGCCACAAAAUGUCAAAAUAUAUCGGGAUGGCAUUGAGUAGAGCACACGAAACAUUUUCUCAAAUGUUCUUUUGGUUUCCAGUUGGUUUCCAGUUUGCAGCCGGACAAGAGGAAGAGAUAUAUUAUCAAUGUGUUUUCUUCUCACCGAACAAUUGGGAUUUCAACUCGAGGGUUUAGGACCAGAUACAGUCGGGUAAAUGCCUCUUUUACUUCUUUUUUUUAUCAUCUGUACAUGCGAGAAAAUCAGUCUUGGUGCUAAAUUAAUUAGUCAAGAGAAUGUCGUUUUGGUGUGUCGUAACCUCUCAAAUUUUUGGCAAUGUUUUGUUUAACGUCAAAACUACACAGUUUGGAUAAUUGUAACCUUCAAGGCUUGAUAAAUUUCUCUUGUUCGUCUGUAUUUUGCUUGGCAAUAGCUGUCUUUUGUCCUAUUUUCUUUUGUUGUUGUUGCUUUUGUGAUUUAACGUCAGCGGGAAAUUAUGGGUUCUCUUUUGAAGAAACAUGUUCACAAAAAAUUUUGAAAGCCAAUUGCCAAAUCUAAAGAUGUGAGUUGGUAAAACACAAAAACCUUGCUAGAAUCUCAUCAAGAUUAUUGGAACAGCAGGAAAUUUUGUGUGACAAGAACUUGAUGGUCCAUAACACACUUCUGGAAAUUUUAAUCGCUUUCAUUUUACAGGUCAUAACAUUUUUUUUUUGAACAUUUGGUCAUAACAUUUUUAAAGCAAACUGCAUUGCAAACCAAAGUUAAAAUCGAAUGCUGGAUUGAUAUUUGCAGUUGCAGGUUCAUGACAUUUUAACUCAAAUAGUAUUUGUAUUAAGCUUCAAGAAGUGACAUUUUUCAUAACCAUAUAAUAUUAAUAAAACAGUUUUACGAGUAUCUUUCCUUUAAUAUUUCUUUCAUGAUGUUAUAAUAUUUUUAUUUUAUUAUGUGUUUUAUGUUUUUAUCUUACAACCGCUUUUUAUAAGAAAACUACAUAUUAAAUCAUUUGUUUUACAGCUUUGUUUACUUCAAUUAGUAAAAACAUCUCAAUCAAAGAUCAUGCUAUUUAAAUCUUCUCAAAUCGAUUUUUUAUACAUUGCUAUGUUAUGUUCAAUUCAAGCAAAGUACGCGUGGAACAAAAAUCAACAUAUUAAAUAAAUAGAAAAUAUAAUUUAAUUAGCAGAUUAAAUAUUGUUUUGGGAUAUUAAGUGAAUCAAUGCGACGACAAAAAAAAAAAAAAAAAAAAAAAAAAGUGAAUCAAUGCAACUAUUUAAA